rnacentral:rRNA from 1 species
CCUACGGGAGGCAGCAGUGGGGAAUAUUGCGCAAUGGGGGGAACCCUGACGCAGCAACGCCGCGUGAGUGCAGAAGGCCUUCGGGUUGUACAGCUCUUUAAUCAGGGACGAAGAAUGACGGUACCUGAAGAAUAAGCUACGGCUAACUAAGUGCCAGCCGCCGCGGGAAUACGUAGGGAGCAAGCGUUCUCCGGAUUUACUGGGUGUAAAAGGCGUGUAGGCGGGCCUGCAAGUCAGAAGUGAAAUCUGGGGGCUUAACCCCCAAACGGCUUUGGAAACUGUGGGUCUUGAGUGAUGGAGAGGCAGGCGGAAUUCCCAGUGGAGCGGUGAAAUGCGUAGAUAUUGGGAGGAACACCAGUGGCGAAGGCGGCCUGCUGGACAUUAACUGACGCUGAGGCGCGAAAGCGUGGGGAGCAAACAGGAUUAGAUACCCUGGUAGUC